GACGAACGCUGGCGGCGUGCUUAACACAUGCAAGUCGAGCGGUAAGGCCCUUUCGGGGGUACACGAGCGGCGAACGGGUGAGUAACACGUGGGUGACCUGCCCUCAGCUCUGGGAUAAGCCUGGGAAACUGGGUCUAAUACCGGAUAUGACUCCAUGACGCAUGUUGUGGGGUGGAAAGCCUUGUGCGGCUGAGGAUGGGGCCCGCGGCCUAUCAGCUUGUUGGUGGGGUGANGGCCUACCAAGGCGACGACGGGUAGCCGGCCUGAGAGGGCGACCGGCCACACUGGGACUGAGACACGGCCCAGACUCCUACGGGAGGCAGCAGGUGGGGAAUCUUGCGCAAUGGGCGAAAGCCUGACGCAGCGACGCCGCGUGAGGGAUGAACGGCCU
rnacentral:rRNA from 1 species